rnacentral:rRNA from 1 species
AUUGAACGCUGGCGGCAGGCUUAACACAUGCAAGUCGAGCGAACGGCGGACGGGUGAGUAAUGUCGGGGAAACUGCCUGAUGGAGGGGGAUAACUACUGGAAACGGUAGCUAAUACCGCAUACCAUCAGAUGUGCCCAGAUGGGAUUAGCUAGUAGGUGGGGAAAUGGCUCACCUAGGAGACGAUCCCUAGCUGGUCUGAGAGGAUGACCAGCCACACGGGAACUGAUACACGGGCCAGACUCCUACGGGAUGCAGCAGUGGGGAAUAUUGCACAAUGGGCGAAAGCCUGAGGCAGCCAUGCCGCGUGUCUGAAGAAGGCCUUCGGUUUGUAAAGUACUUUCAGCGGGGAGGCGUUACCCGCAGAAGAAGCACCGGCUAACUCCGUGCCAGCAGCCGCGGUAAUAC